UACGUAGGCAGCGAGCGUUGUUCGGAGUUACUGGGCGUAAAGGGUGUGUAGGCGGUUGUUUAAGUUUGGUGUGAAAUCUCCCGGCUCAACUGGGAGGGUGCGCCCGAAUACUGAGUGACUAGAGUGCGGGAGAGGAAAGUGGAAUUCCUGGUGUAGCGGUGAAAAUGCGUAGAUAUCAGGAGGAACACCGGUGGUGUAGACGGCUUCUGGACCGUAACUGACGCUGAGACACGAAAGCGUGGGUAGCAAACAGG
rnacentral:rRNA from 1 species